UCCCUAAUGGCUCAGAUGGUAAAGAAUCUGCCUGCAGUGCAGGAGACCCAGGUUCCAUCCCUGGUGAAGGAA
rnacentral:tRNA from 1 species